UACGUAGGGGGCAAGCGUUGUCCGGAUUUAUUGGGCGUAAAGAGCGUGUAGGCGGCCUGAAAGGUCAGCUGUGAAAACUCGAGGCUCAACCUCGAGACGUCGGUUGAAACCAUCUGGCUAGAGUCCGGAAGAGGAGUGUGGAAUUCCCGGUGUAGCGGUGAAAUGCGUAGAGAUCGGAAAGAACACCAACGGCGAAAGCACUCUGCUGGGCCGACACUGACACUGAGAGACGAAAGCUAGGGGAGCGAAUGGG
rnacentral:rRNA from 1 species